AACGAACGCUGGCGGCAUGCCUAACACAUGCAAGUCGAACGAGACCUUCGGGUCUAGUGGCGCACGGGUGCGUAACGCGUGGGAACCUGCCCUUAGGUUCGGAAUAACUCCCCGAAAGGGGUGCUAAUACCGGAUAAUGUCUUCGGACCAAAGAUUUAUCGCCUUUGGAUGGGCCCGCGUUGGAUUAGCUAGUUGGUAGGGUAAAAGCCUACCAAGGCGACGAUCCAUAGCUGGUCUGAGAGGAUGAUCAGCCACACUGGGACUGAGACACGGCCCAGACUCGUACGGGAGGGAGCAGUGGGGAAUAUUGGACACUGGGCGAAAGCCUGAUCAAGCAAUGCCGCGUGAGUGAUGAAGGCCUUAGGGUUGUAAAGCUCUUUUACCCGGGAUGAUAAUGACAGUACCGGGAGAAUAAGCUCCGGCUAACUCCGUG
rnacentral:rRNA from 1 species